UUUCACACACUUGCUGGGAAGCUUCCUCUGUGGAUCCACCAAUGGUUCUUUCCGCCCCUUUUAUCAUUUGACCACGUUCCCUUCUCUAUUUCUCCCUAUUCCUUUCCUUUGCUACCCCUUUAUCAUCGUCUCUCUACCCUUUUGCUUCCCUCCUCCUCUCUCUUCAUCAUCGAGCAUAACAGAUUCAAUCUUCCUGUUCUUGGGGGAUUUUGCUUAUUACAGAUAACAUAUAUCCCUUGUCCAUUGAUCUCUUAGAGCGUUGUUCAAUGGCUGCUAUGGGAGCCUAAGAAGCCUCCUCAAGUCGAUAUUCUUAUCACGUGUUCUUGAGUUUCAGAGGUGAUGACAUCCGGAAUACCUUUGCUGAUCACCUUUAUAUAGCUCUACUACAUGCAGGAAUUCGCACAUUUAGGGAUGAUGAUGGAUUGGAGAGAGGACAGAAUAUUGCUGUAGAACUAAAUAAGGCAAUCCAAGUGUCGAGGAUUUCAAUAAUAGUCUUCUCAAAAGACUAUGCAUCUUCAAGAUGGUGUCUUGAUGAGCUUUUGAAUAUCCUUGAGCACAAGAAGACUGGUGGUUAUAUAAUUCUACCGGUCUUCUACCAUGUGGAUCCAUCCCAUGUAAGAAACCAGACAGGGAGUUUUGCAGAGGCAUUUGCUAUACACGAAGAGCGAUUUAAGGCAGAGAUAGAAGAAAGAAAAGAGGCAGGGUUGGACAAGAUAAAGAGGUGGAAAGCAGCUCUGAAAGAAGUUGCAGAUUUGGCAGGGAUGGUUUUACGAGAUGGGUCAUUUCCUUAAAAGUGUUAAUAAUGUUGAUUUAUACUUUCAAAUUAUUCAUGCCAUUAGAUGCUAAUGUUAUCUACUCUCCACAUUAUUUCUUAAUGGUUUUUUUUGAUAAGUACAUUAUUUCUUAAUGUUAAUGCUUUAAACUAGUUGAAAUGUAUUGAAACACUAUUAAUACUAUCUGUAUAUUAUUUAUCAAA